UAAACUACAUUCGUUAUAUGAUUUGGUCGCGAUCGGCGAUUGGUCUAGCCUACUAAGUUGAAAACGCAAUUGUUGAACACGGAUUUCGACAGAAAUUCAAAUAUCUGAGAGAAUUGAUGGAGGAUAUGAUGGGUCAAGUUAACGUUAAGCUCUUAGUCAGGUUAUUGGAAGGAAACAACGGCAUGUUCAUCGUUAGGACUCGCGGUUGUAGCCACGCUCCGAGACAGUAGGACGAAGUUUAGACGAAGUGCAGGAUUUUGAUGAAGACUUACACCGGUAACGUAGUACUACCCUGACAUGAACAUAAUUUUUCGAGCCUCGAAACCAGCCUUGCGUAUGAUCAUGCCGAGUCAUAGCCGUGAUGACGGUUGCCAGGAAACAACAGAUUAACUUAUCAUCAUCAUAAAAUAGGCUUAUAACUCUUCUACAUUUUUUCGCUUCCAAUAUCAUAGUUAUUUUAUGAAAUCGCCAUGCAGAAGUUGCAGACGGUAUUCAAUUUAACUGUUUAAAAUGAAACAACUGAACGGUAUUGUUAAAUGUUUCUGUUUCAUAAACUGAUGAAAUUCUUGUUUGCUUAGAAAAUAAACUCUGUAUAAAUAC